UUAGUUAUAUUUUGCGCAGUUUCUUUUACAGCCAUUCCGCUCUUUUUUAUACUGAUU
rnacentral:sRNA from 1 species